GCAACGAUGAAGAACGCAGCGAAAUGCGAUACGUAGUGUGAAUUGCAGAAUUCCGCGAAUCAUCGAGUCUUUGAACGCAAGUUGCGCCCGAGGCUUGUCCAAGGGCAUUUCCGCUAGAGCGUC
rnacentral:rRNA from 1 species